AACAUUUUAACCAUAAUUGUGUCUCAAAAACCUGUUUUGUUUAACAUAAAAUUAUAUACACUAUUAUAUAACAGUAGAUAGAAAGUGUCCAACGUCCAUCCUGAAAUAGUGCAUUUAUAGAACAUCUGUAGAAAAAUUGUAUACAUAUUUGUGCUUCAAAGGCCAUGAUGGUAGGCCACAGUUGCAGUAAAAAAAACAGUACCUCCUCGGCCAAUUGGAUGAGCGUAUUUUGUGUCAUCGUACAGGUGUGAGAAUAUUCUGUCAACUCAUGGGUCCAGAGCAAGACAUGCCCUGGGAACACGUUUCUCAUAAAAUUUCAUAUAAAGCGCAUUUUUAUUCAUUUGGCAUUUAACUGACUAUUUUUUAAAACUCAGAGUAUUACGAGACCGUUUCAGCUCAAAACGGGACGGUUGCUUUUUUUCUCUAAAUACAGGAUGAUUCCAUUUUUCAAGUGACAGUUGGCAACCCUACCCACAGUCCAGUCCAGAUGGUCUCAUCCAGUUCAAUCCCACUUUUAGAUUUUUAAAGAAGUAUAUAUCGUAUUUGGAUUAUUAAACAAUGAACCUUUUUAAGACUGUAAGUCCCAAGACUAUACUGGAUCGAAUACAUAAGGUCCGAUGCAACACUAGUUCAAAAGUUAGUAGAAAUACAAUGUUAGACCAUCAUGUAAUCGGGAUUGCUGACAUUAUUUAUUUUCAUGUAUUGUACCGAUUGCUGGGUAGGAAAUACAGAUUUUGAAGAAACACACAACCACUCAUCUACUAUGACGUCAACAUUAAAAGCGUGGUGAUAGUCAAACAUCAGUCGUACACGUGUUAUUGUAUAACCUUGUAUUUCUAUUAACCUUGAUUAGUUCCUUGUUUAGUAAGUUAGUAACAAGCAUGGAGAUAAAAAACAUGGAGUGAUAAAAUGAAAAGGUAGUAUACUAAAAUUGCCAAAUUGAUGUGGCAGUAAAUAAGUAUGUAUGUUCACAAUAUAGAGGGUUCUUCAAACACUUUUAUGUUCAAUCCACACUGUAUUUUACAUUUGAUUAUAUUUUCUUUAUAGAACUCUUCAGUUCUAAUAAAAGUAUAUGAUCCCAGACGCCGGUGAUGGAAUUUAUUUGCAAGUGAGAGGGGCAAAUUAUUUAAUUGUGACGUCAUUAGAAGAACAUUUUUUUUGGGAGGGGGCAUUGGGCUUUUUCACAAUUUUGAGAUAAAGCUUUUUUCAUAAAUAGUAAAUUUAUAACAAAAAAAAUGUAUCUAAAUUUUAGUAGUGAAAUUUUUGAGGAGAAAUUUGAAGGAAUAAGAUUUUUUAUUAUUGUUAAAUCUGUUUUUUUUUUCAAAAGUGGAGACCAAUGGCCUCUUGGCGCCCUAUGGUUCCGGUGCCGCUGAUCUUAUACAAGAUUUGGAGUGAUUGAUGUAUGAAUAACUAUUGUUUUGGUUGAUACCAUUGUAUAUAAUAACUAGUUAAUAUUAUUAUAUCAUUUUUAUGUAAUUAUGAUCGAAUUAAUAAUUAUUACAUGUACAGAAC
rnacentral:lncRNA from 1 species